UCCGGUAAAGCAAGAAAUCGCGAGCGCGAGCGCGACGUUGCCAUAUCGCUAGACGCGGAGCGACAUUGCGCCGCCGCCGACGACACCGCGCCGGCACCGCACUGGCUGCCUGCACUUGUUUGUCAGUCGCCACUUGACCUUUGACAUCGAAAGUAUCAAACGAAAGUAAUCGAAAAGUGUGUGAGUGAUUGAUUAGAUUAUUCCGUCGAGAUAAACCGUAUAUGAUAUUAGUAAUUAAAAAUGUCGCAUUCGAAACCACAAAGACAUCAGGAGCAGGAUGAAAAUGAUGAAAGUGAAGACACUGGAAAAUCUCUGUGGGACUAUUUCACAAAAAGACCUAAUAAAGAAAACGAAGCGCAAUGCUCAUUAUGUUCAAAGAACCUGAAAAUAAGCAAAGGUUCUUUCAAAGGUUUAAAGGUUCAUUUAGAUAAAAUACACUGCAUAAACAUAAGCUCUGAAAAUAGUAAAUUAAAACGGUCUUAUUCUAAAGUAGUUUCACAAGCGUCCACAUCAAAACCUGAUACGGAAACAGUUGAAUUAUUAAGUAAUGAAGAAGACAAUAUAUAUAUAAAACUAUAUAGAUUAUUAAUAAGAGUUUAAUAGUAUUAUUAGUUAUUACUUAAGUACUUUCAGAUACUUACAUGCAGCAAGUCAGACUGAUUAAUUACUUUACAAAUAGUACCAAAAAUUACAAUUAAUGCCAAGAAAUAUAAUUAAAAGUGAUUUCAUUUUCCA